CUUUAAACAAAACUAAAUGCUGGCAUAUCACAUCACCCCACAACCAUCGCACUCGAGUCAUGGAUGUAUCUGGAUUUGAAAAUACUGGACGGUUACUGCAAGGGGUCACGACUCGCCACAACCUCCACCGAGAACCACGCCGUGUACUCCAGGGUGUCUCUCACACCUUUGAUCUAAAAGAAUCAUCCAAAUUAAGGAUGUAUGGUCCCCAACACAUGGGGAAUUUUUUUGGCAAGGAGUUCCUUAUUGGUUAAGGUUGUUAGCCAAUCCAUUUUGACUAA